CGCCGCGUGAGUGAUGAAGGCUUUCGGGUCGUAAAACUCUGUUGUUAGGGAAGAACAAGUGCUAGUUGAAUAAGCUGGCACCUUGACGGUACCUAACCAGAAAGCCACGGCUAACUACGUGCCAGCAGCCGCGGUAAUACGUAGGUGGCAAGCGUUAUCCGGAAUUAUUGGGCGUAAAGCGCGCGCAGGUGGUUUCUUAAGUCUGAUGUGAAAGCCCACGGCUCAACCGUGGAGGGUCAUUGGAAACUGGGAGACUUGAGUGCAGAAGAGGAAAGUGGAAUUCCAUGUGUAGCGGUGAAAUGCGUAGAGAUAUGGAGGAACACCAGUGGCGAAGGCGACUUUCUGGUCUGUAACUGACACUGAGGCGCGAAAGCGUGGGGAGCAAACAGGAUUAGAUACCCUGGUAGUCCACGCCGUAAACGAUGAGUGCUAAGUGUUAGAGGGUUUCCGCCCUUUAGUGCUGAAGUUAACGCAUUAAGCACUCC
rnacentral:rRNA from 1 species